UAAUACGUAGGAGGCAAGCGUUAUUCGGAUUUACUGGGCGUAAGGCGGGCGUAGGCGGUUUUUCAAGUCGGAUGUAAAAUCUCCCGGCUUAACUGGGAGGGACCAUUCGAUACUGUUGAACUAGAGGGCAGCAGAGGGAGGUGGAAUUCCCGGUGUAGUGGUGAAAUGCGUAGAUAUCGGGAGGAACACCAGUGGCGAAGGCGGCCUCCUGGGCUGUACCUAACGCUGAGGCCCGAAGGCGUGGGGAGCGAACAGGAUUAGAUACCCUGGUAGUCCACGUAGUAAACGAUGGACACUAGGUAUGGGGGGUAUCGACCCCCUCCGUGCCGAAGUUAACGCUUUAAGUGUCCCGCCUGGGGAGUACGGCCGCAAGACUA
rnacentral:rRNA from 1 species